GUUACUUCUGAACGUGGGUGGACCUGAUCGAGUUUCCAGGGUUCAGAUGGCUGAAGCUGUUGCACAUAUUCGAGGUUAUAAUUUGUCAUUGAUCAAAUCAGUAUCCUCAUCAACUGUUAACCGCGGCGUUAAGUCUCCAGCAGAUAUAUCCAUGGAUACCAACAGAUUAAUUCAGACACUCAAUAUGUCACCAACUUCAUUUAGGAAUGGUGUUAAGUUAACACUUGAAGCUGAAUUUGCUUCUGCAUCAUAGUAGUUUUUGUCUUGCUCUUUUCCAGAAUGCUCAUCUUCAUAUGUAUUCGUUUUGUCAAAUUAUGUUCAUU
rnacentral:misc_RNA from 1 species